CGGCUACUACAUCCAAGGAAGGCAGCAGGCGCGCAAAUUACCCAAUCCCGACACGGGGAGGUAGUGACAAUAAAUACUGAUACAGGGCUCUUUUGGGUCUUGUAAUUGGAAUGAGUACAAUUUAAAUCCCUUAACGAGGAACAAUUGGAGGGCAAGUCUGGUGCCAGCAGCCGCGGUAAUUCCAGCUCCAAUAGCGUAUAUUAAAGUUGUUGCAGUUAAAAAGCUCGUAGUUGAACCUUGGGCCUGGCUGGCCGGUCUGCCUCACCGCAUGCACUGGUCCGGCCGGGCCUUUCCCUCUGGGGAUCCGCAUGCCCUUCACUGGGUGUGUCGGGGAACCAGGACUUUUACUGUGAAAAAAUUAGAGUGUUCAAAGCAGGCAUAUGCUCGAAUACAUUAGCAUGGAAUAAUAGAAUAGGACGUUGCGGUUCUAUUUUGUUGGUUUCUAGGACCGCCGUAAUGAUUAAUAGGGACAGUCGGGGGCGUCAGUAUUCAAUCGUCAGAGGUGAAAUUCUUGGAUCGAUUGAAGACUAACUACUGCGAAAGCAUUGGCCAAGGAUGUUUUCAUUAAUCAGGAACGAAAGUUAGGGGAUCGAAAACGAUCAGAUACCGUUGUAGUCUUAACCAUAAACUAUGCCGACUAGGGAUCGGGCGAUGUUAUUUCUUGACUCGCUCGGCACCUUACACGAAAGUAAAGUUUUUGGGUUCUGGGGGGAGUAUGGUCGCAAGGCUGAAA
rnacentral:rRNA from 1 species